rnacentral:rRNA from 1 species
CACGUAGGGCGCAAGCGUUGUCCGGAAUUAUUGGGCGUAAAGAGCUCGUAGGCGGUCUGUUACGUCUGCUGUGAAAACCCGGGGCUUAACCCUGGGCUUGCAGUGGAUACGGGCAGACUAGAGGUAUGCAGGGGAGAACGAAUUCCUGGUGUAGCGGUGAAAUGCGCAGAUAUCAGGAGGAACACCGGUGGCGAAGGCGGUUCUCUGGGCAUUACCUGACGCUGAGGAGCGAAAGUGUGGGGAGCGAACAGG